ACAACCGCUGCGCGCGCGAGGGCCCGCCUGCUAGGCGAGCGCGCGCCGGCCGCGGGGAGAAGGCGGAGUCCCGCGGGUCCGCACUGGAGAGCGCGACACCGAGCUGAGCACGCGGGGUCGGGGCGGUGACGCUCUACAGAGUGAACGAGGGAGUUGGGACGCCGCGCUUCCUGCCCCGGCGCCCUCCCAAUUUCAUCCCCCAGAUUGUUAACAGCCUGCAGCGUUAAUGGACGCUUAUUCGCCAGGCUCUGGCGUGACAGGACCAGACUUGGAAGUUAAAGAUCCUGAGCUAUGCCACUUCCUGGCUGUGUGACCUUAGUGUUGCUGCUUCCUUCAUGGUGGUUCUGAAAGUCUAGCCUAAGGCUCACUGAGGUGACUCAGCCAACCUGGCCAUGCAGAGAACAAAUACCAGAAUGGACAAAUGCUGUUCAGUUCCACAG